rnacentral:misc_RNA from 1 species
UAGGAUCUAGUUUCCUCUACGUGCUCUUAUGAUCAUGGAGAAGAGCAAAUCUUUCUCAGCUUACUCUCAUGCCUAUUCAGAAAUCCAGCUGGGGUUUGAAGAACGGUCUAAAUCUUAUAGUUUUAACGGCCCAGCCACUGGCAAAAUAGAUGAGCUAGCACCCUCAAGCAACCCUGAGAUGAAGAGAAGAAAGAGAGUGGCUCAAUAUAAUAUGUACACCAUGGAAGGUAAGCUCAAAUCAUCUUUCAGAAAUAGC